CAGCGGUUCUGCGGGAGCCCCACGGGGGCUGAGAGGGCGUCCGGCGCCGACCGCCACACCUGAUGCGGGUCAUGCCGCCGUAGGAAAGGACGAUGCCGGUGAC
rnacentral:ncRNA from 2 species